rnacentral:sRNA from 1 species
GGUUAGAUCGGGAGACUCAUCAACAAAAACAGAGAACCGGGAUUGCUUCGGCAUCCAAUGGCGGGCCACGCCCCGAAAGGGGUAACCUUAGGUCGGUGGAUUACAAAGGAGGUCGGGCGCUCAAAACUUUUUUUCCGGAGUUCUCAUCACAUCACCGGUGCGGUUUUUUU